AUGAUGUCCAUGAGAUAUCGAAGACAACGGUCUUGUCGACUAGCGGUGCACGGUGUCAUGUGCACGCUCCUGAUCAUCGUCGUCUUCUCCCUUAUCGCUGAGCCUUGCCGCUGUGAACAACCACCGCCUCCCGCACCUGCCACUUCAGAUUAUAUCUCUUCCAACCAUUUUUCUGACAUGAAAUUAAAGGAAGAUGGACUGGUGUGGUCUCAACUGUACACCUUCAACUCUCCCAUGCUUUAUAUUUUCUCUGAAGUUGAUAUUCUUGGAGAGUCAACAUGUAUCUAUGCUGGAUCAUAUACGUGGUUUAGCUCAGACUUGUGCAUGUACAUGCUCUGGAAUGGGUCUACUCCAAAAAAUAUGGCCAUGGUUCAGCUACUGUAUGCGCCUCAUUCCCAAAGACAUUCCAGUUGA
rnacentral:rRNA from 1 species